UACAGAGGGGGCAAGCGUUAUUCGGAAUUAUUAGGCGUAAAGCGCGCGUAGGCGGCUCGGAAAGUCGGGCGUGAAAUGCCGGGGCUCAACCCCGGGACUGCGUCCGAUACUUCCGAGCUGGAGGUAGGUAGGGGAGAUCGGAAUUCCUGGUGUAGCGGUGAAAUGCGCAGAGUAUCAGGAGGAACACCGGUGGCGAAGGCGGAUCUCUGGGCCUUACCUGACGCUGGAGGCGCGAAAGCUAGGGGAGCGAACAGG
rnacentral:rRNA from 1 species